rnacentral:rRNA from 1 species
GAUGAACGCUGGCGGCGUGCCUAAUACAUGCAAGUCGAGCGAACAGACGAGGAGCUUGCUCCUCUGACGUUAGCGGCGGACGGGUGAGUAACACGUGGAUAACCUACCUAUAAGACUGGGAUAACUUCGGGAAACCGGCGCUAAUACCGGAUAAUCUAUUGAACCGCAUGGUUCAAUAGUGAAAGACGGCUUUGCUGUCACUUAUAGAUGGAUCCGCGCCGCAUUAGCUAGUUGGGAAGGUAACGGCUUACCAAGGCGACGAUGCGUAGCCGACCUGAGAGGGUGAUAGGCCACACUGGAACUGAGACGCGGUCCAGACUCCUACGGGAGGCAGCAGUAGGGAAUCGUACGCAAUGGGCGAAAGCCUGACGGAGCAACGCCGCGUGAGUGAUGAAGGUCUUCGGAGCGGAAAACUCUGUUAUUAGGGAAGAACAAAUGUGUAAGUAACUAUGCACGUCUUGACGGUACCGAAUCAGAAAGCCACGGCUAACUACGUG